UACGUAGGGGGCAAGCGUUGUCCGGAAUCACUGGGCGUAAAGCGCGCGCAGGCGGUCAUCUACGUCUGGGGUGAAAGCCCGGAGCUCAACUCCGGGAUUGCCUUGGAUACGGGGUGACUUGAGGAUCGGAGAGGCAAGGGGAAUUCCACGUGUAGCGGUGAAAUGCGUAGAGAUGUGGAGGAACACCUGUGGCGAAGGCGCCUUGCUGGCCGAUUUCUGACGCUGAGGCGCGAAAGCGUGGGGAGCAAACAGG
rnacentral:rRNA from 1 species